rnacentral:sRNA from 13 species
GCCAGGUGUGGUGGUGCGUACCUGUAGUCCCAGCUACUCGGGAGGCUGAGGCAGGAGAAUCGCUUGAACCCAGGAGGCAGAGGCUGCAGUGAGCCGAGAUCGCACCAUUGUACUCCAGCCUGGGCGACAGAGUGAGACUCCGUCUCAAAAAAAAAAAAAUAUUAUUUAUUUAUUUAUUUAUUUAUUGAGACGGAGUUUCGCUGUUGUCACCCAGGCUGGAGAGCAAUGGCGCGAUCUCGGCUCACCGCAACCUCCGCCUCCUGGGUUCAGGCAAUUCUCCUGCCUCAG